rnacentral:rRNA from 1 species
GCGGCACGCCUAACACAUGCAAGUCGAACGCAGUAGCAAUACUGAGUGGCAAACGGGUGAGUAUAAUGUGGGAAUCUGCCUUUUGGUUUGGAAUAACACGGGGAAACUUGUGCUAAUACCGAAUAAGCCCUUACGGGGAAAGUUUUAACGCCGAAAGAUGAGCCUGCACUUGAUUAGCUAGUUGGUAAGGUAAAAGCUUACCAAGGCAACGAUCAAUAGCUGUUCUUAGAGGAAGACCAGCCACAUUGGGACUGAGACACGGCCCAGACUCCUACGGGAGGCAGCAGUGGGGAAUCUUGCACAAUGGGGGAAACCCUGAUGCAGCGAUGCCGCGUGAGUGAAGAAGGCCUUUGGGUUGUAAAGCUCUUUCGUCGGGGAAGAAAAUGACUGUACCCGAAUAAGAAGGUCCGGCUAACUUCGU